rnacentral:rRNA from 1 species
UACGUAGGGGGCAAGCGUUGUCCGGAAUUAUUGGGCGUAAAGAGCGUGUAGGCGGUCCGGUAAGUCAGCUGUGAAAGUCAAGGGCUCAACCCUUGAAUGCCGGUUGAUACUGUCGGGCUAGAGUACGGAAGAGGCGAGUGGAAUUCCUGGUGUAGCGGUGGAAUGCGCAGAUAUCAGGAGGAACACCAAUAGCGAAGGCAGCUCGCUGGGACGUUACUGACGCUGAGGCGCGAAAGCGUGGGGAGCGAACAGG